CAGUGAGGGGGCGCGUGAAGGCCGGCGCUGGGCACCGGGACGAGAGUCUUUGGAUCAACAGCUGCAACCCAGAAAAACAACCCAAGUAGUGAUUUUCUUCCUUAUCCUUCUAAGACAAGAACCACCAGUUUUAAUCUUCACCUUUGAGAGGGGGUACGUAAAUAAGUUGUAGCAUCCUGGAGCACAAUGAAGGAGUUUUAAUGCACAGAGUUCAGAGCAAAGUGUUGCAGCAAGUGGUGGAAGAAGGGGAAAAAAGAGGU